rfam:Phoenicopterus ruber ruber contig75611, whole genome shotgun sequence.
CCAAAGGCUCUUUUCAGAGCCACCCACCACAUCAGGAAAAGGGCUG